GCUGUGGGAGUUUUGGAAGAUUGGUCUCUGAUAAGAGGGUUUAGGAUGUCUGUGGCCAAGUCUUGCUUUAUGGUGUAUUCUAGGAGGAAGGUUUUAACCUCUUAAAUAUAAAAUACCUUAUUUGAUUGUAUUUGUUUUAUUCAAUUCAGUCUGGUAUGAGAACGGUAACCCCUAUCUGCAAAAGCAGGGUGUCUGCGGAAAGCUGAGUAUCUUGGCUAUUGAUCGGUGCUUUCAAAUCUUUGGUGUGACUUACUACCAUAUAUGGGCAUACAACUGUAUAAAGGCAGGCCAAACCAAUGACCUCGUUUCAAGAUGGUUGCUAACUACAUUCAGGUUAGCGUUGUGAAGAACAAACGAAAUAAACACAAAAUAUGUUGAUACACACUGAAAGCCGGGACUCCACAGAUCAUGAGGAUAUCUUAUUUGUCUGCCUGUGACCUACCGUUAUUGAUCACCAGCCCCGAGAAUCAAAAUGUUUAUUUUACACAACAUUUUCACCAAACAGCAAACAUCUUGCAAGAGUGGAGGAUGCAGAGGAUUUGGAUGAUGACGUUAGGGAGAGACCCCUCCCCAGCAAGUGCUGCCACCAGUCAAGGUCUUCACCCCCACUGCAAUGUCAAUCACCCGUCUGAUGGUUCUACAACCACCACUCGACAAAGACCCCACUCCUUUUCAACCCCCCCCACUGCAGGCCCUGGCACCACUUCCCACUGCAAGUUCAUCUGGAGGUGCAGGGCAAGGAGGAGAUCUAGGCUUCAACAGAGGAAAGGCAGUGGAAGCAGCACAACAGAGGGCGAAGAAACUGAGGGCCGGUGGCAUACGGUCCUUGAGGAUGAUGAGGAGCCAGAACAAUAUAGGUUUAAACCCAAAAGACCGGAAGGCCCACAGUUGCAGCAGGGGGGAAGGAAGAUGUCCUAGAAACCUGUCACCAUGGUUGUCAUGCUCAGCUACAUUUCCUUGGUGAUUUACAUGGGACUGGUAAAGGUAUCAAGACGAGUUGACAACUGGAGCAAGUCCCCACUAUCGGUGCCAGUUCCCCACCUCCAUCAUUAGUGAAAACCGAUUCUUGGCCAUCAACCGUACUCUUCACAUGAGUGAUCCACAAAAGGAUCAGGAGAAUGACCAGAAGAAGGGCACUGCAGGGUAUGAUUGUAUUGCAAGAGUCAUGGUGGGCAUGCAAAACGUACUUCUAUGCCUGCUCAAAAUUAAUCUAUAGAUGAGCGCAUGGUUGCCUCAAAGGCUUGAAUUGUCUUGAAGCAAUAUAUGAAAAAUAAGCAGACCAAAUGGGGCUAGCUCUUUGUGCUAGCCGAUUCAGCCUAUGCCUACACGUGGAACUUUUCAUCUAUGAAGGCAAGGUGAUCACACCCACUGGGAAGGGCCUUAGUUAUGACUCUGUCAUGCAGCUGAUGGACUUCACCUUACUUGGCAGUGGGUACAAGUUCUUUGUGGAUAAUUUUUAUACUCGUCCCAUGCUUUUCAUAGACCUCUUGAAAAAGAAAAUGGGGGCUUGUGGCACCAUUCGUCCUAACAGAAUAGGUUUCCCCAAGACCAAGGUAAACGACAUGGCAAAGACAGUGGAGAAGGGGACCGCACGUUGGAUCAGGACUAACACGCUGCUUUUUGUGAAAUGGAAGGACACUAGGGAAGCAACCAAGCUCCCCACACAGCAUAAGGCAUUCAAUAACAGGGCAUGGGUGAGGAAGAAUGUCCCUGUUUCUAUGAAUGACUACAAUUCCAGCAGGUUGACACCCUCAAUAUCUGUUGCUCUCAUAGGCUACCACCAGGUCCUCCACUAGACCAGGAUGUGGUAUAAGACCUUUUUUUUACCACUUUGUGGACAUUUCUACAGUGAAUGCUUUCAUUCUGCACAAGCAGAUAGCCAAAGCAAAAAAGUAAAACCCCUCUCACAGUUGGCCUUCCGAGAGCAGCUGGUGUUGGAAAUGGCUGAAUUGGGGGCCCAAAGCAACCUCACAACCAUCACAAGACCCCCCACUCAAGGUGAGUGCCACUAUCCAACACACAUGACAAAAGAAAGAACUGCAAGCAUUGCACAAAACACAAGGGCCCAAAAAUUGUGAAAUGCCAGAUCGCUUUUUGUUUCCUGGCAGAGAGACUGCUUCAAAGACUAUCAUGACACGUACAAGCUAUGGUGAAAGUGAAAUCUAAUCAUCUACACCUGGGAUGUAAUAUGAACACGAAUGCCAUUUGCAAAUUGUUCAGCUUAUUUCUAAUUUUGCACACUUUUAGUGUAGGGCACGUGUGUAACUAAGUUUGUGUUUGAGACAUUUCUAUAAAUGUUUUAAUGUAUUGUAUGUCUGUUGCUUUUAUAUUGUUUUUGUAAACAGUUAAUUUGUAUGUGGGACCAAUACAUUGGACAUGCCUAGGCUAAACGUUCAGGCACUUUGGAGAGGUUGAAAGAACACUUGAAUAUCCCCUGUAUGUCCCCCGACACCACCACAAUGUUUGAGAGAGGUUGGUGUUGUAUUUCUUUUUUAAUGGUGAACAAAACCUUUAGCCACAUCCAGUGUGCAAACACAGUGCAAUUACCACAUUCAAACACUUUGGAGAGGUUGAAAAGACACUUGAAUGUACCCUGGAUACCCCAUAACACCACCACAAUGUUUUAGUGAGGAUGAUAUGUUAGAAAUUGUGUUUUUAUACUGAACAAAUGACAUUUAGGGAUUACAAAUAUGUAAUGGCACUUUAAUGAUCUAAUUUACAGACAUAUGCCACUUUGGAAAGUUCUAGGGACACUUGGAAACGUCCCGUCCCGUGACGAGACCUGACAUCACUUACUUAAACAUCUGCCAAUUUCUAGUUGGUAUCAAUCCCAUUUUUUUAUGAUAUUGUUCAUAUGUUGUGGAAGCCAUCUGUGUUUCCAGCUCUAGUCAUCAAUAAUUCUCUUAUAGCUUGUCAAUGAAAGAUGACUUUCAAAAUUAAAAAAAUUCAACAGUUA